rnacentral:lncRNA from 1 species
UUUCCAGCUGCACUGAUGCCUGCAGCUGUUGCUGCUACUGCUGCAUGGCCUGCACAGCUUCGGUGAGGCCUCUGACCUGCUGAACCAGCAGGUCAAACUGCUCUAUACCGACUGCCAUUGCCGGAGGAGGAGGAGGAGCCUAGGAAACUGGAGGUGAGGUCGGAGCUUGAGAUCUAGUCGCGGAGGUCGUGGAUCACCUGGUGGAUGCUUUUUGGGGAGGCAUCAGGUGGAGAUCUAGUAGGAGAAGGAGAAGAGGACGUCGGAGAAGAUGAUCGAAGACAGUUUCGUUGAGCACUCCUUUAAGAACAAGGAUACUGUACAGAUACAGCCCCCCUUCCUCUAGCGCCAAUUCUGUUGGUGCAGAAUUCUGUCGAAACCGAAGUUGCUGGAGUUGAGA